GCCAUCAUUGUAAAAAUGAUGCAGGAUCGACUAUGUCGAAUAAAAUUCUAGGUAGAAUUAUGAUAAUGACAUUGUCUGCCCUAUGUGUCUUGACCAAAUUACGUGCCAGCAGUCGCGGUAAUACGUAGAAGACUAGUGUUAUUCAUGUUUAAUCGGUUUAAAGGGUACCUAGACGAUAAAUCAAGCCUAAAAUUAAAUAAAGGGACUAAUUUACUAGAGUUACUUAUGAGGGGGUAUUAAAGUACUGCUGGUGUAGAGAUGAAAUUCUGUCAUACCUCUUUUCAAUAGAAAAAUAAUGGCACAGGUAUAGGCGAAAGCAUCCCCUUAUGUGAUAACUGACGUUGAGGGACGAAGGCUUUGUGUAGCGAACAGGAUUAGAUACCCCAGUAGUCAAAGCAGAAAAUGAUGAAUGUCAUAGAUUAGAUAAAUAAGUUUAUUCUAUAAAUGAAAGUGUAAGCAUUCCACCUCAAGAGUAAUUUGGCAACAUUGGAACUGAAAUCAUUAGACCGUUUCUGAAACCAGUAGUGAAGUAUGUUGUUUAAUUUGAUGAUCCGCAAAAAACCUUACCACAAUUUGAAUAUUUAUAUUUUUUAUUGUUUUCUUUUUAAUUUUCUUCUGAUUUGAUUUUUCUAAAGAAAAAAAGAAAAAAAGAAAAAAAGAAAAAAAGAAAGAGAGGCGAUAUGAUAUAUUUACAAGCGUUGCACGGCUGUCUUCAGUUAAUGUCGCGAGACUUUGGUUAGUUCCAUUAAAUUAACGUAAACCCUUGGGUUUAUUUUUAUAUAGAGUAGUUCCCCGC
rnacentral:rRNA from 1 species